AGACACCCUCUUUUUAGGCCGGGUGUGGUGGCUCACGCCUGUAAUCCCAGCACUUUGAGAGGCCUAGGUGGGCAGAUCACCUGAGGUCGGGCAUUUGAGACCAGCCUGACCAACAUGGAGAAACCCCGACUCUACUACAAACACAAAAUUAGCUGGGUGUGGUGGCACAUGCCUGUAAUCCCAGCUAUUCAGGAGGUUGAAGCAGGAGAAUCACUUGACCCUGGGAGGCAGAGAUUGAGAUUUUAAACAGAAGACCUGCACCAAAAAUACUACCACCAAAACGUUUUGAUGAAGAAACACAUAAGAGGAGGAUGGAAGGAGAAAAUGGCAAAGAGAAAAUGGAAGGGAGAGAACUAAAAGGAAGGGAGGGAGAGAGAGAAAAAUACAGGAAAGUAUCUUGAAACAAUUUUACAUUCGUUUUGGUGUUAUGUGACACAAUUCCAGAAAUAAGGAUGUAACAAUCUGGAUUAGAAUGCUCUAACCUCUUUAAAGAAUGCCAGGCAUCUAGUUGGUGUGCAAUAAACAUUUAUCAAAUGAACAGCUAUGUAUUAUAGUAAACCUUCUAUUGACUAUAAACAAUUACAGGUGAAUCUGUACAAAUUCACCCACAGGAGGGAAAUUUUUGGCAUUAGAUCAGACCUCAUGCUACCCACCAGUAAUGCUCCGUUUCUCACUCCUCCCACCACCAUCUUCCACAAGCACCAUACCCAAAAUGGAAGAUUUUACCUUCUUCAGCGGAGAAAAAAGGAAGUCAUUUCAGAAAUCACAUUCAUUGGGGUAUAUAUGAUAAAAGUUACUCUGCUGGGCAUUUUCUGUGCCUUCUUUGAUUCAAAGGCCAUUGGAGCACAGUGAGAUAAAGGUUAUCAUUCUCAUUUUACAGAUGAAAAAUGGCUGUGAAAGGCCUACUUUCCUCACCUUAGGAGAGCCACACCGCUAACUUGUGGAGGAAAUUUAACUUCAGUCAAGGCCUCUGUAUUUCCAAAGUCUCCUCUCCUUGCACUCUGCCAUGAUAUCUCCACAUAACAUAAGUGUUCUCUUUUUAUAUCCCACAGUGGGUAAUGUCUACUUUGAUGAUUGUUUAUGCUUAAU
rnacentral:lncRNA from 10 species